UACGUAGGGUGCGAGCGUUGUCCGGAAUUAUUGGGCGUAAAGGGCUCGUAGGCGGUUUGUCGCGUCGGGAGUGAAAACCCAGGGCUUAACCCUGGGCUGGCUUCCGAUACGGGCAGACUAGAGGUAUGCAGGGGAGAACGGAAUUCCUGGUGUAGCGGUGAAAUGCGCAGAUAUCAGGGGGAACACCGGUGGUGAAGGCGGGUCUCUGGGCCGAUACUGACGCUGAGGAGCGAAAGCGUGGGGAGCGAACAGG
rnacentral:rRNA from 1 species